GCCGGGUUAGCUCAGUUGGUUAGAGCAUGGUGUUAAUAACGCCAAGUUCACAGGUUCAAUCCCUGCUUACUGCA
rfam:Pelecanus crispus contig102242, whole genome shotgun sequence.